AUAAGGGCCAUCAUUCUCCAAGAAUAUUAACACAUUAUUUGAUUAGUAUCUUUUUUCAGACAUCAUACUAAUUGUUUAAGACACAGAUACUUGGAAACAUUCAGCAAAGCAUUAACCAACUUCAUAUCCAUAAAUAGUUCUAACCCAAAUGCAAGACACAUAAACAUAUCUUUGGUUGAGCAAAGCUUGAUUGUGAAACAGCUGCAUCUGGAUCAUAUGGCAGCCUCCCUGGCAAUAUUUCUAGGUGAGGGCAAACCAGCAACAACAUCUUCCUCAAUCCCACACUCAUUCGUUCCUCUUCUUAUCUUGAAGUAGCCAUCAUCGCCCCAGCCUCUGUUCCACUGAUUUGCCAAAAGCCAAUAAUCCUCUCCAUCAUCCGUUGUUCCCCAUCCAAUAAGCUUUACAGCAUGCCCUCCCAUUACAUCGCCAGUAAUAUAUUUGUAAACCCCAGAUUUAUAGUGAGCAAAAUCCUCAUACACCGUGAAGGAAACCUCGACUGGUCCGUUCUUAUAAACUUCUGCCAUGAUAUCAUAGGGAUCUGUUUUAAUCCUAUAAGCAUUAACACCAUAGUGCUUUGUUUUUCUCCAAAUCUGGUUCUUAUCUACGCAAUGCCUGACACAUUUAGGAGUAGGAUAUGCAGGUUCACAACCAGGAUGGGAACAACCAGUAGUGUCAAAAUAUGGAUCACACUGUUCAGUAACAACUCCAUGGCGAACAAAGUAUCGCCAUGCAGAAAUUGGGUAACCCCCAUCACAGCCGUCACCACACAUGAAGCCACAGCAUGCCAAAAGAUCAUUAACAGACAGAGAAAUGUUCGUGUCAAAAUGGAUGCAGAAUCGAUCUGAAAGUGACUCAACAGCACCAAAUGCCCAGCAAGAACCACAGUGCCCCUGAUCUAGAAUGGUUCCAAUGCUGAUACACUGAGGCCAAGCUUCUCUUGCAUCAAAGCUUUUUGGCAACUUUAAAGACUUGGGAUGGGAUAAAACAGGGGUACUUUUCAAAUCCUUUUCAGGAGUUUGUUUGACACCAAGCAGGUACUUGAAUUGGCUAACAGAAUAGUUUGAAAACCGUGGGUUCAUGGUAGCUUUCCAGCCAGCCUGUGGGUGUUCAUUUACAUGCUGAACGAUAGACUCCUGAAGAAUAUCAGCGUCGAGUUUGAACUUUAGAACUUGUUCCUCCGCAUAGACCUGAUGAUGGAAGGUGCAGACGGCAGCCAAAAAUAGCAAGGAAAGGGAAAAAUACAAGUGAGAUGAUGCCAUUUCCUUGCUAUUUUGGAAGGCAGAAUCAGAAUCAGAAGCAGAAACAAAGGCGAUGGAGAUGGAGGAGGAAGAG
rnacentral:misc_RNA from 1 species